GGAGCUUUUGCCGCUAGCAAAGCUCUCAGAUACGCUCUGACCACAAUUGAAAUAGUUUGUCGCCCUGUCGCCAGCCACUUUUGUAGCCAUGUGGCUGGCGACCUAUUUACUGCGGCGUAUCCAUCAGAUACAUGCACAGAACAAUUGGAAACACAGAAAAAAGUAAGGAGGAGAUUAAGGGGUUUCCGAGAGAUCUAUUGGAAUGCGCUGGCUGCGGAAUCGAACAAUGCUGAAAAUGUAAAAUGCGAGAAUGCAAAAAAUUGCCGCCCCCUUGUAGGUGGUGGCUAAAAUGUUAAACGGAGCCCCAAAAGGCAAUUACACGCUAUCUGCUACAGCUGAACGGAACAGAACCCUCCUUCAAGACAAGAAAAACAGGCCAUGUAACCAAAAUUCAGUUUCGAUUUAGUUUCGUCAGUCGGCGGAUCGCGUCGACCCGCAAAAUACCCUAUAAGUGGUCGGUUCAUAUACAAUAAAGUCAAGAAAUUACA